CCCUUAGAUGUUCUGGGCCGCACGCGCGCUACACUGAUGCAUUCAACGAGUCUAAAACCUGGUCUGAUAGGGCUGGGUAAUCUUUUGAAAGUGCAUCGUGAUUGGGAUAGAGCAUUGCAAUUAUUGCUCUUCAACGAGGAAUUCCUAGUAAGCGCAAGUCAUCAGCUUGCGUUGAUUACGUCCCUGCCCUUUGUACACACCGCCCGUCGCUACUACCGAUUGAAUGGCUUAGUGAGGCCUCCGGAUUGCGCCUGAGGAGCGGGCGACCGCACCUUGGGCUCGAGAAGCUGGUCAAACCUGGUCAUUUAGAGGAAGUAAAAGUCGUAACA
rnacentral:rRNA from 1 species